AGUCAGUGGUUUCUCCCAGAAAACGAUUGCGCUACUGGAGGCUCUGAGGAAGUUCAAAGACACUCUGCCGUCUGCACUGGAGAGAAAAAGAGGGGAACCACUCGGAGCGCACAGACAGGUGAAUGUGACUCUGGAUCCAGACACGGCUCAUCCCCAACUCGUCCUGUCUGAGGAUCGGAAACGUGUGAGAUGGGAAGACACA